CAAACUACUCUGGGGGACGCAUAUCUCGGCUCUCCCAUCGAUGAAGAACGUACCGAAAUGCGAUACUUGGUGCGAAUUGCAUAAUCCCGUGAACCAUUUAGUUUUUGAACGCAAGUUGCGCCCGAAGCCAUUAGGCCGAGGGCACGUCUGCCUGGGCGUCACAC
rnacentral:rRNA from 1 species